CCUACGGGAGGCAGCAGUGGGGAAUAUUGGGCAAUGGGCGCAAGCCUGACCCAGCAACGCCGCGUGAAGGAAGAAGGCUUGCGGGUUGUAAACUUCUUGUGACAGGGAAGAGGAGAAGACGGUACCUGUCGAAUAAGCCACGGCUAACGACGGGCCAGCAGCCGCGGUAAUACGUAGGUGGCAAGCGUUGUCCGGAUUUACUGGGUGUAAAGGGCGUGUAGCCGGGUUGACAAGUCAGAUGUGAAAUCCUGCGGCGUAACCGCAGAACGGCAUUUUAAACUGUUGAUCUUGAGUACUGGAGCGGCAGCCGGAAUUCCUCGUGUAGCUGUGCACUGCGUAGAUCUUAGGAG
rnacentral:rRNA from 1 species